rnacentral:rRNA from 1 species
AACGUGCGGAGCCUAACAUGCAGUAGGCGAUGAAGAGGGCCUGUCCUGAUUCAGCGCGACGGGGAGUAAUGCCUAGGAUCUGCUUGAUAGUGGGGACCACGUUUCGAAGGAACGCUAAUACCGCAUACGUCCUACGGGAGAAAGCAGGGGACCUUCGGGCCUUGCGCUAUCAGAUGAGCCUAGGUCGGAUUAGCUAGUUGGUGAGGUAAUGGCUCACCAAGGCGACGAUCCGUAACUGGUCUGAGAGGAUGAUCAGUCACACUGGAACUGAGACACGGUCCAGACUCCUACGGGAGGCAGCAGUGGGGAAUAUUGGACAAUGGGCGAAAGCCUGAUCCAGCCAUGCCGCGUGUGUGAAGAAGGUCUUCGGAUUGUAAAGCACUUUAAGUUGGGAGGAAGGGUUGUAGAUUAAUACUCUGCAAUUUUGACGUUACCGACAGAAUAAGCACCGGCUAACUCUGUGCCAGCAGCCGCGGUAAUACAGAGGGUGCAAGCGUUAAUCGGAAUUACUGGGCGUAAAGCGCGCGUAGGUGGUUUGUUAAGUUGGAUGUGAAAUCCCCGGGCUCAACCUGGGAACUGCAUCCAAAACUGGCAAGCUAGAGUAUGGUAGAGGGUGGUGGAAUUUCCUGUGUAGCGGUGAAAUGCGUAGAUAUAGGAAGGAACACCAGUGGCGAAGGCGACCACCUGGACUGAUACUGACACUGAGGUGCGAAAGCGUGGGGAGCAAACAGGAUUAGAUACCCUGGUAGUCCACGCCGUAAACGAUGUCAACUAGCCGUUGGGAGCCUUGAGCUCUUAGUGGCGCAGCUAACGCAUUAAGUUGACUCGCCUGGGCAGUACGGCGAACAAGU